rnacentral:rRNA from 1 species
CGGCCAGACUCCUACGGGAGGCAGCAGUGAGGAAUAUUGGUCAAUGGUCGGGAGACUGAACCAGCCAAGUCGCGUGAGGGAAGACGGCCCUACGGGUUGUAAACCUCUUUUGUCGGGGAGCAAAGCGAACCACGUGUGGUUCAUUGAGAGUACCCGAAGAAAAAGCAUCGGCUAACCCCGCGCCAGCAGCCGCGGUAAUACGGAGGAUGCGAGCGUUAUCCGGAUUUAUUGGGUUUAAAGGGAGCGUAGAUGGGUUGUUAAGUCAGUUGUGAAAGUUUGCGGCUCAACCGUAAAAUUGCAAUUGAUACUGGCAGCCUUGAGUACAGUUGAGGUAGGCGGAAUUCGUGGUGUAGCGGUGAAAUGCUUAGAUAUCACGAAGAACCCCGAUUGCGAAGGCAGCUUACUAAACUGUGACUGACAUUGAUGCUCGAAAGUGUGGGUAUCAAACAGGAUUAGAUACCCCUGUAC